GCCAGUGUGACCUAGUUGUUUGGGUAUUGCACUGUGACUUUGGAGACCAGGGUUCAAUUCCCUGUUUGGCC